AUGUGCAUAUGUAUAUAUAUAUGUGUAUAUUUAUAUAUGUAUAUAUAUAUAUAUAUAUAAAAUUUUAAAUGGAUCAGAUUCCUGGUGUUACGUCAUCACAGGGCGUCGGAGUCGUUGGGUUCGGGGAAGGCGCCGGGAGUGUAGCCGAUGCGGCCAUGCUGGAUGAGGGCAGAUGAUCUGCGUAUGGGAGGUGUUUGAAAAUUACUUGUUUCUCGGUUAUCCCAUCCUAC
rnacentral:lncRNA from 1 species